UUCGAUGCAACGCGAAGAACCUUACCAGGUCUUGACAUCCCACGAAUUCAUCUGAAAGGAUGGAGUGCCUUCGGGAGCGUGGAGACAGGUUGGUGCAUGGUUUGUCGUCAGCUCGUGUCGUGAGAUGUUGGGUUUAAGUCCCGCAACGAGCGCAACCCUUGCUAUUAGUUGCUAACGGGUAGAGCUGAGCACUCUAAUGGGACUGCCGGUGACAAGCCGGAGGAAGGUGGGGAUGACGUCAAAUCAUCAUGCCCUUUAUGACCUGGGCUACACACGUGCUACAAUGGAUGGUACAGAGAGCAGCGAGGCAGCGAUGUGGAGCGAAUCUCAAAAAGCCAUUCUCAGUUCGGAUUGGAGUCUGCAACUCGACUCCAUGAAGUCGGAAUCGCUAGUAAUCGCGAAUCAGCAUGUCGCGGUGAAUGCGUUCCCGGGCCUU
rnacentral:rRNA from 1 species